rnacentral:lncRNA from 1 species
CACCUUUUCCUUCUCCUUCUCUCUCUCCUUCAUCUUCUCCUUCUCCAUUUGUCUUCUCCCUCUUCUCCUCCUCCUCUUGUUACUUCUUCCCCUUCCCCUUCUCCUUCUUGUGUUUCCUUUUCCUUCUUUCUUCUCCACCUCGUUGUUGUACUCUCUCUCUUCCUCCUCUUCCUCUCCUCUUCUUAUCACUUAGUGAUGAGGUCCCUCAGUGAGCAGUUGUUGUUCCCAAAAAGAAAUGGCACUUUGCAUGCAUUAGGGGAAUGGGCAUAAUCUAAGUCUCUCAUUGAAUUACUGUCUUUAAGCAAGCACACGUUGCUAUUGUUUCUAUUGUCCCAUGGUGGAACAUAUCUUCAAUCUCA